rnacentral:rRNA from 1 species
GUGAGGAAUAUUGGUCAAUGGGCGGGAGCCUGAACCAGCCAAGUCGCGUGAAGGAAGAAGGAUCUAUGGUUCGUAAACUUCUUUUGCAGGGGAAUAAAGUGCGGGACGUGUCCUGUUUUGUAUGUACCCUGAGAAUAAGGAUCGGCUAACUCCGUUCCAGCAGCCGCGGUAAUACGGAGGAUCCGAGCGUUAUCCGGAUUUAUUGGGUUUAAAGGGUGCGUAGGUGGUUUGAUAAGUCAGCGGUGAAAGUUUGCAGCUUAACUGUAAAAAUGCCGUUGAAGCUGUCGGACUUGAGUGUAAAUGAGGUAGGCGGAAUGCGUGGUGUAGCGGUGAAAUGCAUAGAUAUCACGCAGAACUCCGAUUGCGAAGGCAGCUUACUAAGCUACAACUGACACUGAAGCACGAAAGCGUGGGGAUCAAACAGGAUUAGAAACCCUAGUAGUCC